rnacentral:rRNA from 1 species
AUUGAACGCUGGCGGCAGGCCUAACACAUGCAAGUCGAGCGCGCGGCGGACGGGUGAGUAAUGCUUCGGAAUCUGCCUAUUAUUGGGGGACAACACCUCGAAAAGGAUGCUCAUACCGCAUACUAACAGAUGAGCCUAAGUCGGAUUAGCUCGUUGGUGGGGUAAUGGCUUACCUAGGCGACGAUCCCUAGCUGGUCUGAGAGGAUGAUCAGCCACACUGGAACUGAGACACGGCCCAGACUCCUACGGGAGGCAGCAGUGGGGAAGAUUGCACAAUGGGCGCAAGCCUGAUGCAGCCAUGCCGCGUGUAUGAAGAAGGCCCUAGGGUUGUAAAGUACUUUCAGUCGGGAGGCGUUACCGGCAGAAGAAGCACCGGCUAACUCCGUGCCAGCCGCCGCGGUAAUUC